CCUACGGGAGGCAGCAGUGGGGAAUAUUGCACAAUGGGGGAAACCCUGAUGCAGCGACGCCGCGUGAGUGAAGAAGUAUUUCGGUAUGUACCGCUCUCUCCGCCGGCCCGAGCCCGGCCGGUCCCUGACUAAGAAGCCCCGGCUAACUACGUGCCAGCAGCCGCGGUACUACGUAGGGGGCAAGCGUUAUCCGGAGUCACUGGGUGUAAAGGGCGCGUCGCCGGCUGUGCCAGCCUGCCGUGCCCGGCGGGGGCCCCCCCCCUGGCCUGCUUU
rnacentral:rRNA from 1 species